ensembl:lncRNA
GGAAAAGCACAGAGUAACUUUCAAAUGGAAAUGCAGGUGAAAGAUCUUCUGCGGUGAUUUCACUCAAUAAUCACAACUGUGAUGAUGCUCUGGAGACGUGGGGCGAUUCCAGGCCAUGUGAAAUCCACAAACUCUGUUGAAUCAUCCCAGCAUGUGAUGGAAUAACCGCAGAUCUGCUUAAAUACAUUUGUUGACUCACCUUUUUACCAAUUACAGGACAGACAGCAGCGUUUUCCAUUUGGACGGCGCAUCUGAAUGCACAAACAUCCGCGCGGACUGCUGGGAAGAAAAAGAUCAAGAACCACAGCAGGUCAGUGCACAAAUACACAAAUAUAUCAAUAUAAACAUACUUAUAAACACUGAAAACAAGUCUGAACUGCGAGAUAUAAACUCAGAAUUGCAAGAAAUAAAGUUCAGUCCAAAAAUAAUCUGCUAAACUCUAAAUCCAAAAAGCUAAUGGACAUAAUUAUAAGUAUGACAUUGAAGUGAGUUGCUGUUUUUGUCACUCUUCUGAGGAAGAUUCAUUCACUUGUUAUGGGCAAUGUUGUAAGUGAUCUUUCUUUCUGUUUUAAAGAUGUUUUCUUUGGAC